rnacentral:lncRNA from 1 species
UCCCUGCUUUAUAAGGAGGCUCUUUUCCAGCUCAAAGCCAGGUUCGGGUUUGCCCAGGGCUGCAGCUGCAAGAUGAGUCACGGUUCUACUUCCCCUGGAAGGGCAGAAGUUGCAUAAGAUUGUUGAGGCUCAAGCGAGAUAAUGUGUGAGGCUGUUACUCCAGACUAGAGCCUUGAUUUUUAAACUUCAGCGUGCAUCAGAAUCGCCUGGAAGGUUUGUUAGAACCCCGCCCCCAGAGUUUCUCCUUCAGGGGGUCCAGGGUGGGCCUGAGAGUUUCUGAAGUGUUCCCAGGGGUUGCCGAUGCUGCUAGUCCAGGCACUAUAUUUAGGGAACCCCCGUCCUAAAGCCUCACCAAUUGAAUCUCCUAAGAUGAUGAAGAUGGCCUACAUCUGUGCUGUCCUAAACGGUAGCCAACAGCCACACGUGGCUACUGAGAACUCGGAGUGUGGCUAGCACGCCUGAGGACCCGAAUUUAAAAAACAGUUAAUUUUAAUUAACUUAAAUUUAAAUAGCCACGUAUGGUUGGUGGCCAGCGUUUUGGACAGUGUUGUUCUAGAGCUCAUCUGAGUUUGCAGAUGAAGAAACCGAGGCUUUGAGAGGUACCUCCCCUCCCUUGGAGUCUCAUGGCAAUCCUGGGGUGGUGCUCCGGCUGGCUGGCCUUCUUGAACAGGUCCUGUGAUAUGGGAACAUUUGAGUGCUUUGGGGGUGUCUUUGUUGCUUUGAGUUCCAGGUAGCUGAAAGGAGUGGGCUGGAAGGGGACGGGGAGACCCAUUUGCUGGCUCAUGACAAAGAUGAGAGCUGCAGACACAGCGCACAGCGGCAGGAAAAGGCUAAAUGAAAGAGGAUCAUCAGAGCGAAUCACGCUACUGCUCAGAAUGACCAGCUCUUCGGGAUUGAAGAAAGCUUCCUUCAUCCUGUCCUUGGCCUCCGUGGUCAAAGAGCUUCAGGGGCCUUGCUGACCUCCUUCCUCUCCAUUUUGCUGUGCCCUCUCACUGUCCCUGAACUUGAGAUCCUGGAGGUUUAGCUGUGCUCUGGGUCCCUUGAAGACUUCGGAGGCAAUCCACUAAGAAAUGGGGAUUUAAGUGAGACAUGAAGAAGAACUUCCUUAUGGCAAGAACUAUAAGAUGUUGAAGACAAGACACAGUAUUGGGAGUAAAGGCGGUGAGGCACGGAAAUAUAUUUACCAACACCCAGGGAACCGAGUCUUCUCCCCCAGGAUCCCUGCUCUGCUCGUUCAGGGCAGGAAUCCCAGCCAGCACAAGGCCCAGGGCUGCUGAGUGAACUCACUAGCUAGCUAGUCACUGAGCAACAGAGUCUGGAGUCUGGGUCCCCUGAUGCCCAGUCUUGAGCUCUUUCAUGUCCUCCAUUCCUCACUCAGUUGACACGAAGGCACUGGGGCCUGAAGGACACGGAACAGGUGAGGCCAGUCCCCCUGCUUGAACAGCUCUGUGUAGGAAAGGAGAUGACUCCCUCUCCCCUCUCCCCUCUCCCCACGGUCUCCCUCUCCCUCUCUUUCCCCGGUCUCCCUCUGAUGCCGAGCCGAAGCUGGACUGUACUGCUGCCAUCUCGGCUCACUGCAACCUCCCUGCCUGAUUCUCCUGCCUCAGCCUGCCAAGUGCCUGCGAUUGCAGGCGUGCGCCGCCACGCCUGACUGGUUUUCAUAUUUUUUUGGUGGAGACGGGGUUUCGCUGUGUUGGCCGGGCUGGUCUCCAGCUCCUAACCGCGAGUGAUCCGCCA